rnacentral:rRNA from 1 species
UACAGAGGAGCCAAGCGUUGUUCGGAAUUACUGGGCGUAAAGCGCACGUAGGCGGCUUUGCAAGUUAGAGGUGAAAGCCCGGGGCUCAACUCCGGAAUUGCCUUUAAAACUGCAUCGCUAGAAUUGUGGAGAGGUAAGUGGAAUUCCGAGUGUAGAGGUGAAAUUCGUAGAUAUUCGGAGGAACACCAGUGGCGAAGGCGGCUCACUGGCUCGGUACUGACGCUGAGGUGCGAAAGCGUGGGGAGCAAACAGG